rnacentral:rRNA from 1 species
GAUGAACGCUAGCGGCAGGCCUAACACAUGCAAGUCGAGGGGCAGCACAGGUAGCAAUACUGGGUGGCGACCGGCGGAUGGGUGCGUAACGCGUAUGCAACCUACCAUUGAUUGGGGCAUAGCCCGAAGAAAUUCGGAUUAAUACUCCAUAAUAUUCAUCAAAGGCAUCUUUUAUGAAUUAAAGCUUUUGCGAUCAAUGGUGGGCAUGCGUGACAUUAGUUAGUUGGUGAGGUAACGGCUCACCAAAACGAUGAUGUCUAGGGGUUCUGAGAGGAUUAUCCCCCACACUGGUACUGAGACACGGACCAGACUCCUACGGGAGGCAGCAGUGAGGAAUAUUGGUCAAUGGACGCAAGUCUGAACCAGCCAUGCCGCGUGCAGGAUGACGGCCCUAUGGGUUGUAAACUGCUUUUCCACGGGAAGAACCCUCCGACGUGUCGGAGACUGACGGUACCGUGGGAAUAAGCAUCGGCUAACUCCGUGCC